UCAUAUGGGUGAGCAAAGAGAGUGGUUUCUUGAGAUGAAAUCUACUCCCGGUAAAGAAUCUGUGAA
rnacentral:pre_miRNA from 1 species